rnacentral:rRNA from 1 species
UAACAAUGAUUCCCUCAGUAACGGCGAGUGAACAGGGAAAAGCUCAAAGUUGGAACCUCCUGGCCCUAGGUCUGGCGGAUUGUAAACUAAAGCUCUCGAGUAGUUCGGCUAGCCUGGUAAAAAAGUUCUCUGGAAAGGGACGACAUAGAGGGUGAAAUCCCCGUCUUUGGCCAGAGCAUAGUCCAACGUUUGCUCGGAAGUGAAGAGUCAGGUUGUUUGGUAUUGCAGCCUAAAGCUGGAGGUAAAUCUCUCCUAAAGCUAAAUAUUGACGAAAGACCGAUAGCGAACAAGUACCGUGAGGGAAAGAUGAAAAGCACUUUGAAAAGAGGGUCAAAAAGUACGUGAAAUUGCUGAAAGGGAACCGUAUGAAAUCAG